AUGAAAUCAGCCAAGUCCCUAAAUCAUCUUAGUUAGGUCUGGGCUUUAACUAUUGUUGGACUGAGUUGGUUUCGUCUGGACACGAACCGAACGGUUCCAGACCGUCUCGACCCAUAGUCUGAAACCAGAUCGAUAGACCAGAUCGCGACCUAGGUGAGGAGCUCCUCUGCCCUCCGCGAGCCAUGGCCUCCGCCCGCCACUGGUAGGGAUCUUCUGCUGCCGCUGCCGACCAAAUCGUAGCGAUCUUCUGCCGCCGGCUGGAGCUUGGUCGCGCCGCUGUCUGGAGCUUAGUCGCUGCCUUCCCCUCGCUUGGCUGGAGCUUGGCCGCCGCUCACCGCUGCGUUUAGGGCUCGAUGGCUGCCGCUGUAGUUGCCAUUGGCUGGAGCUCGGCAGGUGAGAGGUAGCCGCUGCCGAUCAAGACGCCGCCGCCGGUGACUCAAGAUACGGCUGCCAAAGUUGGUUGGAUUCUGAAACAUUUGAUCAAUGCCUGUUACCUAUUGUGUAAGAUUUGGGGACUGAAUCUUGUGUGAAUGUUUCAUGUGCUGCUGUGCAUCUCUGCUUUUGUCACUGCUCAUCUUGGACAGAGUUCUUUGAGAAAUCAGGCCUACUUUUGUUCUAUUAAUCUACUCCUAACGUAUUGAUUGUUUCUUCAAGAACAGGGGGAAACGUGAAGUAUUAUUAGUGUGUUUCGCUGCAUCUUUACUCUAGAAUUAUCGAUUGAUUAUUUUCAAAGUGUUUGCAGUGUGUAGCAGAGCAAAGCUAAGGUAAAUACAAUAUAUGGAUGUGGUGCCAAUGUUGCUGCUGGAGCUUGGAAUGGCUUGAGAAGCCGCUUAUUGCACAUUUUUUUCCAAGACAGUUUUUGUAGUUCAGAAGUGAGGAAAAGAAUUUGUCUAUGUGAAUCAGCGGCAGACUCUUGUGACCUGGAGAUUCAACUGAGUGAAUCAGUUGAAUGAGUGAUAAUUUGUAACAGAUGAGCUGUAUCGUCUGAAUUUAAUUGUAUGCAUGCAACACUUAGUAUUAUUAUUGUACAAUUCAUACUGAGCAUGCAUCGAUAGUAGCCAGUAGGAGUGCUCAGUGCAUGCAUCAACAACUA